ACAGCAGUAGCCGCGGUAAUACAGAGGGUGCGAGCGUUAAUCGGAUUUACUGGGCGUAAAGCGUGCGUAGGCGGCUUCUUAAGUCGGAUGUGAAAUCCCUGAGCUUAACUUAGGAAUUGCAUUCGAUACUGGGAAGCUAGAGUAUGGGAGAGGAUGGUAGAAUUCCAGGUGUAGCGGUGAAAUGCAUAGAGAUCUGGAGGAAUACCGAUGGCGAAGGCAGCCAUCUGGCCUAAUACUGACGCUGAGGUACGAAAGCAUGGGGAGCAAACAGGAUUAGAGACCCCAGUAGUCCCUGUCUCUUAUAC
rnacentral:rRNA from 1 species